rnacentral:rRNA from 1 species
UACCAGCACCCCGAGUGGUCGGGACGUUUAUUGGGCCUAAAGCAUCCGUAGCCGGUUCUACAAGUCUUCCGUUAAAUCCAACUGCUUAACAGGUGGGCUGCGGAAGAUACUAUAGAGCUAGGAGGCGGGAGAGGCAAGCGGUACUCGAUGGGUAGGGGUAAAAUCCGUUGAUCCAUUGAAGACCGCCAGUGGCGAAGGCGGCUUGCCAGAACGCGCUCGACGGUGAGGGAUGAAAGCUGGGGGAGCAAACCGG